rnacentral:rRNA from 1 species
CCCUUAGAUGUUCUGGGCCGCACGCGUGCUACACUGAGUGGAUCAGCGGGUCAGGUUGCGCGAAAGCGUUUCCUAAUCUUUAAAUCCGCUCGUGAUGGGGAUUGACGGUUGCAAUUUUCUGUCAUGAACGAGGAAUACCUUGUAAGCGCGGGUCAUCAUCCCGCGCUGAUUACGUCCCUGCCCUUUGUACACACCGCCCGUCGCUACUACCGAUUGAAUGGUUUAGUGAGGACUCCUGAUUGGCGCCGCCGCCCCGGCAACGGAGCAGCGGACUGCCGAAAAGUUGUUCAAACUUGAUCAUUUAGAGGAAGUAAAAGUCGUAACA